rnacentral:rRNA from 1 species
UGAGGAAUUUUGCGCAAUGGGGGAAACCCUGACGCAGCAACGCCGCGUGAGUGAUGAAGGCUUUCGGGUCGUAAAGCUCUGUCAAGUGGGAAGAACCUGCAGUAUGCUAAUAUCAUAUUGCACUGACGGUACCACUGAAGGAAGCACCGGCUAACUCCGUGCCAGCAGCCGCGGUAAUACGGGGGGUGCAAGCGUUAUUCGGAAUCAUUGGGCGUAAAGAGCACGUAGGCGGCUUGGUAAGUCAGAUGUGAAAGCCCUGGGCUUAACCCGGGAAGUGCAUUUGAUACUGCCAGGCUUGAGUAUGGGAGAGGGAAGUGGAAUUCCUGGUGUAGAGGUGAAAUUCGUAGAUAUCAGGAGGAACACCGGUGGCGAAGGCGACUUCCUGGACCAAUACUGACGCUGAGGUGCGAAGGCGUGGGGAGCAAACAGGAUUAGAUACCCUGGUAGUCCACGCAGUAAACGUUGUUCACUAGGUGUAGCGGGUAUUGACCCCUGCUGUGCCGCAGUUAACGCAUUAAGUGAACCGCCUGGGGAGUACGGCCGCAAGGUUA